UCAGCUGCAUUGGAUGGCCGUGUUGUCCUUUGUGCUCCAACACGCCCUGAGCACUCCACAGUGCUUUGCUGCAUCACCAUCUCAGCUGUUGAAACUUCUUAUUGGUUUCUUCCAUCUGUUCCACCGAAGCAGUCUUCACAUGCUGGCCUUCCAAUGAAUUAAGUCAUUGCUGUCCAAACAAGACCAGAAGGACUAGCAAUAUUGAUGUUACUACUGUUUCAGAUCCAGAAAUGAGAGAUGCUGGUACACUUCUUGGCAAAGAAAAAGUCCAUCUCUUUCUCCUGCUGUGUCAUACAAUUCUACACAUUCUUAUCCUUUGGCAUUGCAGAGUGCUAUAUCCUAUCAGUGAUGGCCUAUGACCGCUAUGUUGCCAUUCGAGACCCUUUAAGAAUCUUCUGA
rnacentral:lncRNA from 1 species